UUCAAUCUCUGGGUCAGGAAGAUCCCUGGAGAAGGAAAUGGCAACCCCCUCCAGUAUUCUUGCCUGGGAAACCCCACAGACAGAGGAGCCUGGGGAGCUACAAGUCCAUGGAGUUGCAAAAGGGUAGACAUGACUUAGUGAUUAAACAACAAAUGCUUAUGUGUCAAUCCCAACCUCCCAAUUCCUCCCCCCCCGCCACUGUGUCCCUCACCCAGUGCUUUUUCAACUAUACUCAUCUGUCUUUGAGGAUCUGGGGUGCAAGAAAAGGGCGACUUUAGCCCUGGAUAUUCCCCAAGUCUCUGGAGUCACCAGUAGAAUCUCUAAUCUCUAGAAUCUUCUGAAUCUCCUGGGGGAGAGACUUCUGUGUCCUUUUCUCUCUCCAGGAAGAGCAGUGUCAGGAACUCGGGGUUAUCACAUGGACGUUGUAAAACACGGGCUUGUCCUGACCAAGGAGGAGAGCAGACCGUUUAGCUCCUGAGAAGGUGGUGCCCACUGAUGUCUCUAAAAGAAGACGGGUAAUGGGUUUCCUCGCAUCUGGUCUCAGCUCGGUGGCACUGGCGGCAGCAGUGGGCAAAGGAAACUCAUGAUCAUAUUUAAGGAGACCUGCUCUUCUCUGCCCCUCCCCAGAGCGAAGAAAAGGAUCCAUGUGAUCUAGAAGUACAGUGUGCUGGAUACUAUGAAUGUGGCCGGAACAUCAUUCAUUCAUUCAACAACUCAUUCCUUCAUCCAUUCAACAAAAAUUUACAGAGCUCUUCCACAAUUCCAGGGAAUAGGAAGAAUGAGUCUUGCUCCAAAGAGGAGACACCGUGUUGCCCUGGAAUCCAGUUCCUUUUCCUCGCGAUGUGGUGGAAGGUGCAGAGCCUGGAGCCAGACACAUCUGGGUUGAGCCUGACCCUCCCUCCGUCAAUCACCUAACUCCUCCGAGCCUCAGUCUUCUCCCCUGUUGAAAGGAAUGGUAACACUUCUCUCUAAUGUUAAGGGUUUAAAAGGAAGUGAUGUAAGGAU
rnacentral:lncRNA from 1 species